UGGGGAAUAUUGCACAAUGGGCGCAAGCCUCAUGCAGCCAUGCCGCGUGUAUGAAGAAGGCCUUCGGGUUGUAAAGUACUUUCAGCGGGGAGGAAGGCGAUAAGGUUAAUAACCUUGUCGAUUGACGUUACCCGCAGAAGAAGCACCGGCUAACUACGUGCCAGCAGCCGCGGUAAUACGGAGGGUGCAAGCGUUAAUCGGAAUUACUGGGCGUAAAGCGCACGCAGGCGGUCUGUCAAGUCGGAUGUGAAAUCCCCGGGCUCAACCUGGGAACUGCAUUCGAAACUGGCAGGCUAGAGUCUUGUAGAGGGGGGUAGAAUUCCAGGUGUAGCGGUGAAAUGCGUAGAGAUCUGGAGGAAUACCGGUGGCGAAGGCGGCCCCCUGGACAAAGACUGACGCUCAGGUGCGAAAGCGUGGGGAGCAAACA
rnacentral:rRNA from 1 species